GAUGAACGCUGGCGGCGUGCCUAAUACAUGCAAGUCGAGCGAACAGACGAGGAGCUUGCUCCUCUGACGUUAGCGGCGGACGGGUGAGUAACACGUGGAUAACCUACCUAUAAGACUGGGAUAACUUCGGGAAACCGGAGCUAAUACCGGAUAAUAUAUUGAACCGCAUGGUUCAAUAGUGAAAGACGGUUUUGCUGUCACUUAUAGAUGGAUCCGCGCCGCAUUAGCUAGUUGGUAAGGUAACGGCUUACCAAGGCGACGAUGCGUAGCCGAACUGAGAGGGUGAUAGGCCACCGUGGAGCGUGAACACGGUCCAGACGCCUACGGGAGGCAGCAGUAGGGAAUCUUACGCAAUGGGCGAAAGCCUGACGGAGCAACGCCGAGUGAGUGAUGAAGGUCUUCGGAUCGUAAAACUCUGUUAUUAGGGAAGAACAAAUGUGUAAGUAACUAUGCACGUAUUGACGGUAACUAAUCAGAAAGCCACGGCUAACUACGUG
rnacentral:rRNA from 1 species